rnacentral:tRNA from 1 species
GAGGGUAUAGCUCAGUGGUAGAGUGCAGGCUUAGCAUGCAUGAGGUCCUGGGUUCAAUCCUCAGUACAUCUG